rnacentral:rRNA from 1 species
GGUUGAUCCUGCCAGAGGUCACUGCUAUCGGUGUUCGAUUAAGCCAUGCGAGUCGAGAGGUGUUAUGGCCUCGGCGGACUGCUCAGUAACACGUGGAUAACCUACCCAAGAGUCUGGGAUAACCCCGGGAAACUGGGGAUAAUACCGGAUAGGUCAUUCGGGCUGGAAGGCUGUUUGGCUGAAACCUUUGGGGCUUUUGGAUGGGUCUGCGGCUGAUUAGGUUGUUGCCGGUGUAACGUACCGUCAAGCCUGUAAUCAGUACGGGUUGUGGGAGCAAGAGCCCGGAGAUGGAUUCUGAGACACGAAUCCAGGCCCUWCGGGGCGCAGCAGGCGCGAAAACUUUACAAUGCAGGCAACUGCGAUAGGGGAACAUCGAGUGCUCAUCAUAUUGGUGGGCUGUCCAUCCGCCUAAAAAGCGGGUGUUAGCAAGGGCCGGGCAAGACCGGUGCCAGCCGCCGCGGUAAUACCGGCGGCUCGAGUGGUGGCCGAUAUUAUUGAGUCUAAAGGGUCCGUAGCCGGCUUUGCAAGUCUCUCGGGAAAUCCAGCGGCUUAACCGUUGGUCGGCCGGGGGGUACUACAUUGCUUGGGACUGGGAGAGGUAGGAGGUACUCAGGGGGUAGGAGUGAAAUCCUGUAAUCCUCUGGGGACCACCGGUGGCGAAGGCGUCCUACCAGAACAGGUCCGACGGUGAGGGACGAAAGCUAGGGGCACGAACCGGAUUAGAUACCCGGGUAGUCCUAGCCGUAAACGAUGCUCGCUAGGUGUCGCAACAGUCGUGAAUUGUUGCGGUGCCGUAGGGAAGCCGUGAAGCGAGCCACUUGGGAAGUACGACCGCAAGGUUGAAACUUAAAGGAAUUGGCGGGGGAGCACCACAACGGGUGGAGCCUGCGGUUUAAUUGGACUCAACGCCGGGAAGCUUACCGGGAUCGACAGUUGUAUGAAGGCCAGGCUGAAGACCUUGCCGGACUAUCUGAGAGGAGGUGCAUGGCCGCCGUCAUUUCGUACCGUGAGGCGUCCUGUUAGUCAGGCAACGA